GUCUCGCCAUGCUGCUCCUGGGCCUGCUGCUGCUGCUGCCCCUGCUGGCUGGCGCCCGCCUGCUGUGGAACUGGUGGAAGCUCCGGAGCCUCCACCUCCCGCCUCUUGCCCCGGGCUUCUUGCACCUGCUGCAGCCCGACCUCCCCAUCUAUCUGCUCGGCCUGACUCAGAAAUUCGGGCCCAUCUACAGGCUCCACCUUGGGCUUCAAGAUGUGGUGGUGCUGAACUCCAAAAGGACCAUUGAGGAAGCCAUGGUCAAAAAGUGGGCAGACUUUGCUGGCAGACCUGAGCCACUUACCUACAAGCUGGUGUCUAAGAACUACCCAGACCUGUCCUUGGGAGACUACUCCCUGCUCUGGAAAGCCCACAAGAAGCUCACCCGCUCAGCCCUGCUGCUGGGCAUCCGUGACUCCAUGGAGCCAGUGGUGGAGCAGCUGACCCAAGAGUUCUGCGAGCGCAUGAGAGCCCAGGCCGGCACCCCUGUGGCCAUUGAGGAGGAAUUCUCUCUCCUCACCUGUAGCAUCAUCUGUUACCUCACCUUCGGAGACAAGAUCAAGGUGCCUCACAGCCCCUCAGGCCCACCC
rnacentral:sRNA from 1 species